GACGAACGCUGGCGGCGUGCCUAACACAUGCAAGUCGAGCGAAUGAAGUUCCUUCGGGAAUGGAUUUAGCGGCGGACGGGUGAGUAACACGUGGGCAACCUGCCUCAUAGAGGGGAAUAGCCUUCCGAAAGGGAGAUUAAUACCGCAUAAGAUUGUAGUACCGCAUGGUACAGCAAUUAAAGGAGCAAUCCGCUAUGAGAUGGGCCCGCGGCGCAUUAGCUAGUUGGUGAGGUAACGGCUCACCAAGGCGACGAUGCGUAGCCGACCUGGGAGGGUGAUCGGCCACAUUGGGACUGAGACACGGCCCAGACUCCUACGGGAGGCAGCAGUGGGGAAUAUUGCACAAUGGGGGAAACCCUGAUGCAGCAACGCCGCGUAAGUGAUGACGGCCUUCGGGUUGUAAAGCUCUGUCUUCAGGGACGAUAAUGACGGUACCUGAGGAGGAAGCCACGGCUAACUACGUGCCAGCAGCCGCCGUAA
rnacentral:rRNA from 1 species